rnacentral:RNase_P_RNA from 1 species
UUGGGUCUGCGGGCGUUCGCUUGUUCAUCAAGAGGAAAGUCCGGACACCAUAGAGCAGAGUUCCCUAUGAAAGUAGGGGCUUAUUUUGGCGACAAAAUAAGACGGAUAGUGUCACAGAAAAUAAACCGCCAUUAAUCCAUUCCAUUUAAAUUGUACAAGUUUAAAUUCGAGUGGUUUUAACGGUAAGGGUGAAACGGUGAGGUAAGAGCUCACCGCAUCAACGGUAACAAUGAUGGCUUGAAAAACCCAACUCGGUGCAAGACAAAAUAGGAAAUCGAGCGGCUCGCUCAAUGAUUUCGGGUAUGUCGCAUAGAUAAAUGAACGCACAGCUAACGCCUUUUCGGAUACGGAUUUUUUUAGGUACACUUUUGUAGGUCUAAAAAAUCGUUUGUGAAAUUGAGUUAGUGGACAGAAUCUGGCUUACAGUAGACCCAAAUCG